CAAAAGAACCUCAAGACAAAAGAUGAUGUUCAGACUGAUACUGGUGAUUUUGGUCCUACAUAUGGGUACCACCGCAGGUUUGACUAAGUGUCCAAACCGAGCCCAACAUGGUUGGUACAAGGUGGGGCCUUUUUGUGCCAAAUAUUUUGCCUAUAAACAGAACUUUGAUAACGCUGAGCUGAGGUGCAGACGAGAAGCUGCAGAUGGCCAUCUUAUAUCUGUUCAUGAUCAGGAAACCAAAGAAGGCAUGCGACUUCUCACUGGGUCUUCUCAUACUAAAGCCUGGAUUGGAGGAUUUAGGUUGCCUAUUGGUGUUGAUUUUAUAUGGACUGAUGGGUCGAAAUGGGAUUACACAAACUGGCUGCGAGGGGAACCUAAAAAUGUUGGUAACUGUGUGCAGAUCAACUAUAGUACUCCUGGGAAGUGGGAUGACGCCCAUUGCAAGAAUGAACGUGGAUAUAUCUGUGCUUUCAAGAUAUGCAGCCUGUAGCAGUAUGGAGAAAUCUUCUGGGACAAUGCAGUCAUUCUGUACAGCAUUAACCCCUACUUGCGGAUUCAAACUGUUGGGGCUGGAAGGGAAUGUUUGAUCUUUUCUUCUUUUUAAGUGUACAAUUGUCAUGGUGUCUUUUCAGAGAAUAAUGGCAUUCUGUAUACAUUUCUAACCUUUCACAAUUGCAUGAUAAAAAGAAUAAAAAAAUAUGAACUUA